rnacentral:rRNA from 1 species
AGCGGGAAGUAGUUUACUACUUCGCCGGCGAGCGGCGGACGGGUGAGUAAUGUCUGGGAAACUGCCUGAUGGAGGGGGAUAACUACUGGAAACGGUAGCUAAUACCGCAUAACGUCUUCGGACCAAAGUAGGGGACCUUCGGGCCUCACGCCAUCGGAUGUGCCCAGAUGGGAUUAGCUAGUAGGUGGGGUAAUGGCUCACCUAGGCGACGAUCCCUAGCUGGUCUGAGAGGAUGACCAGCCACACUGGAACUGAGACACGGUCCAGACUCCUACGGGAGGCAGCAGUGGGGAAUAUUGCACAAUGGGCGCAAGCCUGAUGCAGCCAUGCCGCGUGUGUGAAGAAGGCCUUCGGGUUGUAAAGCACUUUCAGCGAGGAGGAAGGCCAAUAACUUAAUAGGUUGUUGGAUUGACGUUACUCGCAGAAGAAGCACCGGCUAACUCCGUGCCAGCAGCCGCGGUAAUACGGAGGGUGCAAGCGUUAAUCGGAAUUACUGGGCGUAAAGCGCACGCAGGCGGUUUGUUAAGUCAGAUGUGAAAUCCCCGCGCUUAACGUGGGAACUGCAUUUGAAACUGGCAAGCUAGAGUCUUGUAGAGGGGGGUAGAAUUCCAGGUGUAGCGGUGAAAUGCGUAGAGAUCUGGAGGAAUACCGGUGGCGAAGGCGGCCCCCUGGACAAAGACUGACGCUCAGGUGCGAAAGCGUGGGGAGCAAACA